AUUGAACGCUGGCGGCAGGCCUAACACAUGCAAGUCGAGCGAGUGGCGGACGGGUGAGUAAUGUAUGGGGACUGCCCGAUAGAGGGGGAUAACUACUGGAAACGGUAGCUAAUACCGCCUACCAUGGGAUAACCCAUAUGGGAUUAGCUAGUAGGUGAGGUAAUGGCUCACCUAGGCUACGAUCCCUAGCUGGUCUGAGAGGAUGAUCAGCCACACUGGGACGGAGACACGGCCCAGCAUCCUACGGAGGCACCAGUGGGGAAUAUUGGACAAUCGGCGGUAGCCUGAUGCAGCCAUGCCGGGUGUAUGAAGAAGGCCAUAGGGUUGUAAAGUACGUUCAGUCGGGAGGCGUUACCGACAGAAGAAGCACCGGCUAACUCCGUGCCAGCAGCCGCGGUAAUUC
rnacentral:rRNA from 1 species